rnacentral:rRNA from 1 species
UAUGGGGCAAGCGUUAUCCGGAUUUACUGGGUGUAAAGGGAGCGUAGGCGGCAUGGCAAGUCUGGUGUGAAAGGCUGGGGCCCAACCCCGGGACUGCAUUGGAAACUGCCAGGCUGGAGUGCCGGAGAGGUAAGCGGAAUUCCUAGUGUAGCGGUGAAAUGCGUAGAUAUUAGGAGGAACACCAGUGGCGAAGGCGGCUUACUGGACGGCAACUGACGCUGAGGCUCGAAAGCGUGGGGAGCAAA